rnacentral:tRNA from 1 species
GGUAGCUCAGUGGUAGAGUGCUUGCCUUGUAAGCAUUAGGCCUUGGGUUCGAUUCCUCAGCACCA